rnacentral:lncRNA from 1 species
UACCCUAACCUAUAUGAUCGUUGUAAAAAUUGGUCAUCCCUUACCCCAAUCUAUAUGGGCGUCACAGUUUCUAAUCAUCCUCAUACCCCAACCCAUAUGAAGCACUAAUAACCAAAACCAUGAUUAGUUAAGAUCGUAUCCAUAAUAGGGUUCACCUAUUUGUCUUGCUAAAUUGAUUUCCUCGUCCUUCAAAGGACUCAUUUGACUUUUCUCUCAUUUUUUUGUUUCCUUACCCAAUCAAAUUGCUUAUUUACUUAUUCUU